AAUGAACGCUGGCGGCAGGCCUAAAACAUGCAAGUCGAGCGCCCUAGCAAUAGGGAGCGGCGCACGGGUGAGUAACACGUGGGAAUAUGCCUUUUGGUACGGAACAACGUUUGGAAACGAACGCUAAUGCCGUAUGGUCCCUUCGGGGUAAAGAUUUAUCGCCAAAAGAUUAGCCCGCGUUGGAUUAGCUAGUUGGUAGGGUAAUGGCCUACCAAGGCGACGAUCCAUAGCUGGUCUGAGAGGACGAUCAGCCACACUGGGACUGAGGACACGGCCCAGACUCCUACGGGAGGCAGCAGUUAGGAAUAUUGGACAAUGGGCGCAAGCCUGAUCCAGCCAUGCCGCGUGAGUGAUGAAGGCCUUCGGGUUGUAAAGCUCUUUAGCCGAUGAUUAUAAUGACUGUAGUCGGAAAAUAAGCCCCGGCUAACUUCGUGCCAGCAGCCGCCGUAA
rnacentral:rRNA from 1 species